rnacentral:rRNA from 1 species
CCUAGGGGGUGCAGCAGUGGGGAAUAUUGGACAAUGGGCGAAAGCCUGAUCCAGCCAUGCCGCGUGUGUGAAGAAGGCCUUCGGGUUGUAAAGCACUUUCAGUGGGGAAGAAAGCCUUGGGGCUAAUACCCUCGAGGAAGGACAUCACCCACAGAAGAAGCACCGGCUAACUCCGUGCCAGCAGCCGCGGUAAUACGGAGGGUGCGAGCGUUAAUCGGAAUUACUGGGCGUAAAGCGCGCGUAGGCGGUCUGAUAAGCCGGUUGUGAAAGCCCCGGGCUCAACCUGGGAACGGCAUCCGGAACUGUCAGGCUAGAGAGCAGGAGAGGAAGGUAGAAUUCCCGGUGUAGCGGUGAAAUGCGUAGAGAUCGGGAGGAAUACCAGUGGCGAAGGCGGCCUUCUGGACUGACACUGACGCUGAGGUGCGAAAGCGUGGGUAGCAAACAGGAUUAGAUACCCCAGUAGU